GCAAUACUUAGUGGCAGACGGGUGAGUAACAUGUGGGUAUCUACCCUUUGGCCUGGAAUAACACGAGGAAACUUGUGCUAAUACCGGAUAAGUCUUUACAGAGAAAGCUUUAUGCACCAUUGGAUGAGCCCGCACUUGAUUAGUUUGUUGGUAGGGUAAUGGCCUACCAAGACUAUGAUCAAUAGCUGAUUUGAGAGGAUGAUCAGCCACAUUGGGACUGAGACACGGCCCAAACUCCUACGGGAGGCAGCAGUGGGGAAUCUUGCACAAUGGAGGAAACUCUGAUGCAGCGAUGCCGCGUGAGUGAAGAAGGCCUUUGGGUUGUAAAGCUCUUUCGUCGGGGAAGAAAAUGACUGUACCCGAAUAAGAAG
rnacentral:rRNA from 1 species